UUGACCUAUCAGAAUGUCAAGAAGCAAAGUGCUCAAAUUUCUGAAUGAUAAUGUGGUUUUAAUUACAGGAGUAACAUUAAUUAUCGGUAUCCAUUGGGGAUGGUAUAAAUUACAACAGUUUCCAUAUUUUGUCGGUCAAGAAUAUCGUAAAGAAAUGCCUCUGAUUGCUGCUGCCAAAAUGAUUAAAAAUAAAAUUGCAGGACAAGGGACACAGUAGUAAUAAAUUAUUUAUAUGUGAAUAAUGUAAAAUUGUUAAUUGGUGAUAUUUCAAAAUAUUUUUAUCAUUAUUAUAAUAGUAAGAAAA